CCCUUAGAUGUUCUGGGCCGCACGCGCGCUACACUGAUGCAUUCAACGAGCCUAUCCUUGACCGACAGGGCCGGGUAAUCUUUGAAUCUGCAUCGUGACGGGGAUAGAUUAUUGCAAUUAUUAAUCUUCAACGAGGAAUGCCUAGUAGGCGCAAGUCAUCAGCUUGCGUCGAUUACGUCCCUGCCCUUUGUACACACCGCCCGUCGCUCCUACCGAUUGGGUGUGCUGGUGAAAUGUUCGGAUCGGCCGUUUGUCGCGGUUUCCGCGGCUCGUGGCUGAGAAGUUCAUUAACCCCUCCCACCUAGAGGAAGGAGAAGUCGUAACA
rnacentral:rRNA from 1 species